GGGAAGGUGGCUCAGUGGUAGAGCGCUUGUCUCAGAUGCAUGAGGCCCUGGGUUCGAUUCCUAACCACCACA
rfam:Dipodomys ordii contig_42979, whole genome shotgun sequence.